rnacentral:rRNA from 1 species
UCAGACUCGCGGCACCGAGCUCAGUAACACGUGGCCAAACUACCCUACAGAGACGGAUACCCUCGGGAAACUGAGGUUAACCCGUCAUACCGAUCUCAGGCUUGAAUCGCAGAGAUCACAAAACGCCCCGGCGCUGUAGGAUGUGGCUGCGGUUGAUUAGGUAGACGGUGGGGUAACGGCCCACCGUGCCCAUAAUCAGUACAGGUUGUGAGAGCAAGAACCUGGAGACGGAAUCUGAGACAAGAUUCCGGGCCCUACGGGGCGCAGCAGGCGCGAAACCUUUACACUGCACGCACGUGCGAUAAGGGGACUCCGAGUGCGAGGGCAUAUCGUCCUCGCUUUCGUGUACCGUAGGGUGGUACACCAACAAGGGCUGGGCAAGACCGGUGCCAGCCGCCGCGGUAAUACCGGCAGCCCGAGUGAUGGCCGAUCUUAUUGGGCCUAAAGCGUCCGUAGCUGGCUGCGCAAGUCCGUCGGGAAAUCCACUCGCCCAACGAGUGGGCGUCCGGCGGAAACUGCACAGCUUGGGACCGGAAGGCUCGAAGGGUACGUUCGGGGUAGGAGUGAAAUCCCAUAAUCCCGCACGGACCACCGAUGGCGAAAGCACUUCGAGAAAACGGAUCCGACAGUGAGGGACGAAAGCCAGGGUCUCCAACCGGAUUAGAUACCCGGGUAGUCCUGGCCGUAAACAAUGUUCGCUAGGUAUGACACAGACUACGCGUCUCUGUUGUGCCGUAGGGAAGCCG